rnacentral:rRNA from 1 species
AUUGAACGCUGGCGGCAGGCUUAACACAUGCAAGUCGAGCGGAGAUGAGGUGCUUGCACCUUAUCUUAGCGGCGGACGGGUGAGUAAUGCUUAGGAAUCUGCCUAUUAGUGGGGGACAACAUUCCGAAAGGAAUGCUAAUACCGCAUACGCCCUACGGGGGAAAGCAGGGGAUCUUCGGACCUUGCGCUAAUAGAUGAGCCUAAGUCGAAUUAGCUAGUUGGUGGGGUAAAGGCCUACCAAGGCGACGAUCUGUAGCGGGUCUGAGAGGAUGAUCCGCCACACUGGGACUGAGACACGGCCCAGACUCCUACGGGAGGCAGCAGUGGGGAAUAUUGGACAAUGGGGGGAACCCUGAUCCAGCCAUGCCGCGUGUGUGAAGAAGGCCUUAUGGUUGUAAAGCACUUUAAGCGAGGAGGAGGCUACUGAGACUAAUACCCUUGGAUAGUGGACGUUACUCGCAGAAUAAGCACCGGCUAACUCUGUGCCAGCCGCCGCGGUAAUAC